CUAGAUGUGGGUAGGUCGGUCGGGGGCUGCAUCCCUAUCAUUCAGCCAGGAGGGUCCCAUAUUGCUUCUGGAAAACCUGGUCCCCCUUUCACCAGCUUCCCUUCCUCCUUCCUGGCUGAGGUUGAACAUGAUCUGGGAUAAAAGUCUGAGCCCCAGGGAUUUUUCAGGAGCGUCUACAGGGCAGGAUGAGCCCUGAAAACCAGCAGCGGGGAGGCUGUUUGCAGCAGCUUGUAACCCCCACCCUCUGCUUCUUCCAGGAGCCCCCACGAGAGCAUCUGGCCCCUCUGAGAAAAGAGAGAGAAGCAGCCAACGCUGAGGUGCAGCAGCAAAGCGAGGAGCUGCUGAACCGGACGGAAGCCGAGCGGCAGAAGCUGGUCGGGGAGUGGAAGGCCCUGCAAGGGUUUCUGGAGGAGCAGGAGCAGCUGCUGCUGUCCCGGUUGGAAGAGCUAGAGCGAGCCAUUGUCCAGAGGCGGAAUGAGGGUGUCUGCAGACUGACUGGGGCGAUUUCCCUGUUCGGGGAGAGGGGAGGAGAGAAGGGGCAGCAGCUGCUGAGCCAGUCCCUGCAGGGCGCUGGCAGCGCUGGGGGCAGCAGGGAGGAUGGGACGUUUCGGGAGCCGGAGCCGGGCUUUGCGGAGCUGGAGCAGAGACUCAGCGAUUUCUCUCUGACAAGCGCCCGCCUGCAGGAGGUGCUGUUGGGAUUCAGAGAGAUGCUGCGCCUGGAGCUGGGGAGUGACACAGGAAACAGCUUUGGCAGAUCUAAAGAUGGUGACAGAAUAACACCCAUCUUUGGUUCCAGACUGGCUGGUCCUCGCAGGAGACGAGAGAGAACGAUGGCUGUGGUGGGUCCAGACCGGGGGCCGGUGACCUUUGAGGAGGUGGCUGUGUAUUUCACCAGGGCAGAAUGGGCUUUGCUGCACCCGGCUCAGAGAGCCCUCUACAGAGCCGUCAUGCAGGAGAACUACGAGAACGUGACCUCGCUGAGGUUUCCUAUAUUUACAUCUGAUGCGCUCUCCCAGGCAAAACCAACGGAGGAGCCAGGGGUCCCAGUUCUCCAGGGCUUAGAGGAAAGAGAGUUGCUGAUGGCCACCCAUUCAGCAGAUGGUGGGAUGCUGUGUGUGAAUUUGGAGCUGAACCCUCAGCGGGAAGGUACUGAGCGAGUAGAACCACAUGGGGGAUUAGCGCGAGGCUCCAAAGGGAAUGUGUCCAGGCAUCGUGCACAGGGGGCAGCUUGUGAGAGUCUGCACAGGCCAGAGAGGGAGCAUGAAAGCCAGCCAGGGGAGAAUGUGGGUAAAUCUAUUGAUUGUCAGGAAACUCACAACAGCCUCAAGGAAACCACAUGCCAGCCAAAUAUCCCCAUGGGACAAAGACCCUAUAAAUGUGCCGAGUGCGGGAAGACCUUCAGUUUGAGUUCGAACCUUAUUAAACAUCAGAGGAUUCACACAGGUGAGCGCCCCUAUGAAUGCGGAGAGUGUGGGAAAACCUUCAGCCACAGCUCACACCUAACAAGACAUCAGAGAAUGCACACAGGUGAGAGACCCUACGAAUGCUGUGAGUGUGGGAAAACCUUCAGGUACCGCUCAGACCUUAUCACGCAUCAGAGAAUCCACACAGGGGAGAGACCCUACGAAUGUUGCGAGUGUGGGAAAAACUUUAGUCAGAGCUCGAAUCUGAUUAAACAUCAAAGGAUCCACACAGGGGAGAGGCCCUAUGAAUGCUGUGAGUGCAGGAAAACCUUCACGCGGCGAUCAAACCUGAACGCACAUCAGAGAAUCCACAAAGAUGCAAGACGCUAUGAAUGCUUUGUGUGGGAAAACCUUCAUGCUGAGCUCACACCAUAUUACACAUGAGACAGACUGCUGUGGAGAGAAACACCUUAAAAACUUUUCAAAAGUUUGCAGGGUUUUGGAUUGUCUUUUUUGCGUUAACGUUUUUGUUAAUUCCCACUAAUGAUCUUUAACAAUAUUUGCAGAAUGUUCAUUACUGUGAUCUCUCACCUCCUCAGAUGAGCUGCCCAGUUUUGUGUUUUGCUUUUCACCCUUCCUUAGGGUGAACACUAUGGUAUUCUCUGUCAACUCCUAUGAGUCAUGAGAAAGUGCGUCCCUCUUACUGGGAAUGUCCCUUAGCCAAAGUGGAGGAGUUAAGGAUGAGCUUGAUUAGCUACACUGAGGCACAGUCUACAUGGACUUCCUCUCCACUAGGUUUUUCCAUGGAGUUAGCUACCCAACGUUAGCUAUCCUGGUGCAAAAAAACAGCUACUCUUACAGCAUCUGUGACCCAGGUACUAAGGAGGUUAUCCCUUGAAGAUCUCACCUAGCUAACUAAUCCUGUGCUUUGCAGAAUGAUGUCCCUCACUAUGCCGAUGUGGAGAAACAGAUGUUGUGUUUUAGCAAUGCUCACCCUUUGUACGUGAUGUGAACAUGUAAUAAAAUCAAUUAAGUGUUGAAUGUGA